UGGGGAAUAUUGGACAAUGGGCGAAAGCCUGAUCCAGCAAUGCCGCGUGAGUGAUGAAGGCCUUAGGGUUGUAAAGCUCUUUUACCAGGGAUGCAGUACCUGGAGAAUAAGCUCCGGCUAACUCCGUGCCAGCAGCCGCGGUAAUACGGAGGGAGCUAGCGUUGUUCGGAAUUACUGGGCGUAAAGCGCGCGUAGGCGGCUACUCAAGUCAGAGGUGAAAGCCCGGGGCUCAACCCCGGAACUGCCUUUGAAACUAGGUAGCUAGAAUCUUGGAGAGGUCAGUGGAAUUCCGAGUGUAGAGGUGAAAUUCGUAGAUAUUCGGAAGAACACCAGUGGCGAAGGCGACUGACUGGACAAGCAUUGACGCUGAGGUGCGAAAGCGUGGGGAGCAAACAGGAUUAGAUACCCGGGUAGU
rnacentral:rRNA from 1 species